UUAGAGUGAUAACUACAAGUUUGCCGAGUGCGUUUGUUGUGCUGAGAACUUUGGUUUGGGAAUGUUCAAGUAAAAACCAGACGGAGUAAAGUGACUGCUACAGUAUUAUAAAUAACCAAGCUUUUGGCUUGAUGCUGUGGUCUGUUCAUACAGGAGGAGCGACAUAUGCUGUCCUGGCCACUGUUUUUCCUGUGCUCUUGUUUUUAGGAUUCAGCUCCGUGUGUGUGUGUGUGUGUGUGUGUGUGUGUGUGUGUGUACGUGUACGUGGGGAAGAACCGUCUAUUGGGUUGCCUAUGAGCCUCCCCCUGGUGUGUUGAUGUAUGUGUGUUAUGUAAUGUGUGUAUUUUAGGCCAUUGGGUUGGUGCAAUAUCCUGGGUAGGGGGGAUAACAAUUUUGUUGUGUGGCCACUGGUUUGUCUAGUGUGAAUUAUUUUCUUUUUGGUUAUAUUUGUGCAUGUGAUUUUGUGACGUGCCUUAUCAAUUUUGAGUUUGUUGUAUUUUGUUUUUGAGUUAUUUGAACACUUUGAUUUUGGAUUUUGUUGUCCCUGACUCUGUUGCCCAGAGGCCUAAUGUCCUUUGAAUACUGUUUCAUGUUGUGAGUCCAU